UACGUAGGUGGCAAGCGUUGUCCGGAUUUAUUGGGCGUAAAGGGCGCGCAGGUGGUGUGCUAAGUCUGCCGUGAAAUCUCCGGCUCAACUGGGAGGGUGCGGUGGAGACUGGUACGCUUGAGGUACCUAGAGGUCGGUGGAAUUCCGGGUGUAGUGGUGAAAUGCGUAGAGAUCCGGAGGAACCCAGAGGCGAAGGCGGCGCCCUGGCUCGCAACUGACGCUCAGACACGACAGCAUGGGACGCGGAACGGG
rnacentral:rRNA from 1 species